AUGCUGCGACAGCGACUGCGACUGCGACGGCUACCUGGACCGGGACCGGAAGUGUGGAUUGGUCCGGACACCGUCGAACAAGCGGUGCAACUGAUAAUCCCUUAUCUGGAGGAUACGAGCAAUACUGCACACAAGGCCAUAUAUUUUGAUGGAUGGCAAGGGCUGGCUGCUUCGGCGGUGCUUAGAGCCAUAGCUGAACACCAUCCACCAUCUCUGGUGGAGAAAUUCGACAAGAUCAUACACGUCGAUUGCUCGAAGUGGAAAAGCCGAAGAGCACUCCAGAGAUUGAUCGCAGAAGAACUCAAGCUUCCUCAGCGGGUAAUGGAUAUUUUUGACAGGCAAGAUCAAGAAGAUGAUUUCAGAGGGGUAGACGAAAGCUCUAGAGCCGAGAUACAAGACGCUGGGGCAGAGAUCAAUCGAGCCUUACGAGAACACAUAUGUUUAGUGUUCUUCCACAAUGGAAGCGGCAACACAAUUGACUUGAAUGAUUUUGGUAUUCCCCAACCUCUAAUGGAUCAAUGGUUUGCAUAUGGCAGUAAAGUAUUGUGGACAUUUCGAGGAAGGCUUCGGCUCAACCCAGGAAUUAGUGAGAAGGUGGAUAAUUCACAUCUUUUUCUUUAUGAGGACUCGUUGAUUAAACCUUGGAAUUAUUUGCUACAAAAUGAGGCUAGAGAAAUUGCCGGGUACAUGGAUAAGCUUGGAGAAGCAGUUCAAGAGUGUUGCUUGUAUCUGCUAUCAUUAAAUUCUCAAGGAGGCAACAUCAUGGACUAUGACUGGGCCCCCCAUGCUUCUAACUAUUGGGUCUGCGAUGGGAUCAUACAAGGAGGUCAGGGUGACGAAGCAUGGGAGGUUGCAGCUGCUCUGCAUCAACACCUAAAUAUAGAGGAUUAUUCAUCUAAUGCACUGCCCUAUUUUGGUGCACAAUUGGAGACUCCUCCGAAACGAUGGAUAUUUGUCAAGGACAGGUCUGUUGUGCAUCCAGAGUCAACAUCAUUUUUUCUCGGAGCAGCCGCAAGUGGAUCUGAUCCUCCAUUAUUACCCAAUGGCAUGUUUCAUCAGUCGGACAAACUUCGCGUGCUCAAGUUAUGCCACUGCAGCUUCAAUUUUUCUUCACCUCCUUUCCAUUCUUGCCUCAACUUAAGAUUCCUCGGAUUAGAUAGUUGCAAAGAUCAACAAGCGGAAGAACCCAAAAAGCAAGAUAUGACAACAAUGGAUUUUUUUAAGAGCCUAUGGGUGAUAGACAUAUGCAAUACAGAUUGGGAUCUGCCUUCAUCACCAGAGAGAAUAGAGCAUAUGUCUGCAAACAUCAGGGAAGUUCAUAUAAAGAACGGAAGGUUUUGGUACAUCAUUUUUGCAUUGGGGCAACUGCAGAACCUUCGCAAGCUUCGAGUAAUUGACCCUACUUGCUCUUGGGAGACGGGCGGAAAGGAUGAAUUCACAGUUUUGCCCAGCUUGUCAAGAUCAACUAGCCUCAAGACUCUAGUUCUAGAUGGUUGUGUUGGUUUGGAGCAUGUUGAAGGACUCCCUCCAUCACUUGAAUCAUUCAGCUUACAUGCAAGACCAAGAAAGGAUAAUUACAAGGAAGCCAAAAUAAGCCGCAUCUCCAUGGCUGGUUGUGCAAGAUUGUCUGACUUCACACUGCGUGGAUCACUUCCAAACCUUGAGGAGUUGGACCUCUCAAGCACAAGAGUCAAGACACUUGACCUCACAACUCAGGUGGUACAAGCCCCAAAUCUCCAGCAAAUAAUUCUAUUGGAAUGUUUGCAGCUCCGUGCAAUUAUAUGGCCAGAAGAGGGUCUGCCAACACUGACAGUGCUGCACAUUGAUUCCUCGGCCAGUCCUGCUCAAACAAAACCACCUGAAGUUUAUGUUACUAUAAUGGACAUAAGGUUUUUUCAGUCCUUGGUAUUACAAAGCAAUGUUCGAUUUUGUUGGAAGAGCAAUAGGUACCAUCUAAAUCUCUGUGUCCCUUGUACCGUCAAUGUUAAGGGACAAAGCUAUAUGAAGGACAAGAUGGGCCCUUGUAAUAGUGGGAAAAUAAUGGGUCCUCCUCAACCAAAGUCGUUAACCCCCAACACUUACAACACCUACAUUGAUGUCUCUAUUGACAACAUAAUUAUUGAUCACGACUACAACAAUGGAAUGCAGUUUCAGCCGUUGGGAUCCCAUGUUGAGAUUGGUGAUGGAAUUAGUUUCACUAGAACGGACAACAAAAGAGGAGUGAAGGCUAUCAUCUUUGUGAUGAACAUGGCUGAGUCAUUGCAUGCACACGACAAUUCCUGCAUCACCACUACGAUCCCUGAACAUAUGAUGUCCAUAGGAAAUGAGAAACUUACAUGGCGACAUUUGAAAUCUUGUCAUAUGGUGAGAUGCCCCAAGAUGCAUACAGCCUUCAGUAUUAUCAAUGAUUACUGCAACUUUGAAGAACUAGUGAACUUUUGGGCAGCUGAUCUCCCGAUGACCCAUUGCAUUUGGAGCAAAGGAAGGACGUGGUAUCUUAGAGACCAUAUUUCCUUUGCAAAACUGCAGAGCAUACACCUGUUCUCAUGUCCGAGGCUCACAUUUGUUCUCCCAUUCUCCAUGUUAUACACCUUGGGAAGCUUGGAGACCCUCCACAUCGUCUUCUGUGGUGAUCUAGGGCAGGUGUUCCCUGUGGCGCCAGAGGUUCUGACAAGAAUAGCUAACUACCAUAAAGGUGUACUGGAAUUCCCAAACCUGAAGCAUAUCUACUUGCAUCAGCUCUUCAAGCUGCAACACAUAUGCAAAGCCAAGAUGUUUGCUCCCAAGCUUGAGACCAUCAGGGUCAGGGGAUGCUGGGGUCUCAAGCGCCUCCCGGCCGUUGACCGAGGCAGUCGUCCGAUUGUGGACUGUGAGAAGGACUGGUGGGAUAAGCUGGAGUGGGAUGGGCCGGAGGCCGGCCACGACCCUUCCCUCUUCCAGCUGCGCCACUCGGCGUACUACAAGAAGCCCCUGCCUAGAGUCUCAGUUCUUUGGUGA
rnacentral:rRNA from 1 species